rnacentral:rRNA from 1 species
GGGGGGGGCAAGCGUUGUUCGGAAUUAUUGGGCGUAAAGGGUAGGUAGGUGGUCUCAUUUGUCUGGGGUGAAAGCCUUGAGCUUAACUCAAGAAGUGCCCCGGAAACGGUGAGACUAGAGUCUUGGAGAGGGUCGUGGAAUUCCCGGUGUAGCGGUGAAAUGCGUAGAGAUCGGGAGGAACACCAGAGGCGAAGGCGGCGACCUGGACAAGUACUGACACUCAACUACGAAAGCGUGGGGAGCAAACAGGAUUAGAUACCCUGGUAGUCCACGCCGUAAACGAUGGGUACUAGGCUUGGCGGGUCAUUCAGUUGAUCUGUGCCGGAGCUAACGCGUUAAAUAUGCCGCCUGGGGAGUACAGUCGCAAGGCUG